CCCUCCCCCCCAGGCCUGAUGAGCAGGUCUCGCGCUUCCAUCCAUCGGGGGAGCAUCCCCGCGAUGUCCUAUGCCCCCUUCAGAGAUGUACGGGGACCCCCCAUGCACCGAACCCAAUACGUUCACUCCCCAUAUGACCGUCCUGGUUGGAACCCCCGGUUCUGCAUCAUCUCGGGGAACCAGCUUCUCAUGCUGGAUGAGGACGAGAUACACCCCCUUCUGAUCCGGGACCGGAGGAGCGAGUCCAGCCGCAACAAACUGCUGAGACGCACAGUCUCCGUGCCGGUGGAGGGGCGGCCGCACGGCGAGCAUGAAUACCACUUGGGUCGCUCGAGGAGGAAGAGCGUCCCAGGGGGGAAGCAGUACAGCAUGGAGGCCGCCCCCGCCGCACCCUUCCGGCCCUCGCAAGGCUUCCUGAGCCGGAGGCUAAAAAGCUCUAUCAAACGCACGAAGUCACAACCCAAACUUGACCGGACCAGCAGCUUUCGACAGAUCCUGCCUCGCUUUCGAAGUGCUGACCAUGACCGGGCCCGGCUGAUGCAGAGCUUUAAGGAGUCACACUCCCAUGAGUCCUUGCUGAGUCCCAGCAGCGCUGCCGAGGCCUUGGAGCUCAACUUGGAUGAAGACUCCAUCAUCAAGCCAGUGCAUAGCUCCAUCCUGGGCCAGGAGUUCUGUUUUGAGGUAACCACGUCAUCAGGAACGAAAUGUUUUGCCUGUCGUUCUGCGGCCGAAAGGGACAAAUGGAUCGAGAAUCUACAGCGGGCAGUAAAACCCAACAAGGACAACAGCCGCCGGGUGGACAACGUAUUGAAGCUGUGGAUCAUCGAGGCCCGGGAGCUGCCGCCCAAGAAGCGGUACUACUGCGAGCUCUGCCUGGAUGACAUGCUGUACGCGCGCACCACCUCCAAGCCGCGCUCGGCCUCGGGGGACACCGUCUUCUGGGGCGAGCACUUCGAGUUUAACAACCUGCCGGCUGUGCGGGCCCUGCGGCUGCAUCUGUACCGUGACUCAGACAAAAAGCGCAAGAAGGACAAGGCGGGCUAUGUUGGCCUGGUGACUGUGCCUGUGGCCACCCUGGCCGGGCGCCACUUCACAGAGCAGUGGUACCCCGUCACCCUGCCGACGGGCAGUGGGGGCUCUGGGGGCAUGGGAGGCUCCGGCGGGGGCGGGGGCUCUGGGGGCGGCUCCGGGGGCAAGGGCAAGGGCGGCUGCCCGGCCGUGCGGCUGAAGGCACGCUACCAGACCAUGAGCAUCCUGCCCAUGGAGCUGUACAAGGAGUUCGCUGAGUACGUCACCAACCAUUACCGGAUGCUGUGUGCCGUGCUGGAGCCCGCCCUGAAUGUCAAGGGCAAGGAGGAGGUGGCCAGCGCUCUGGUCCACAUCCUGCAGAGCACAGGCAAGGCCAAGGACUUCCUUUCUGACAUGGCCAUGUCUGAGGUGGACCGGUUCAUGGAACGGGAGCACCUCAUAUUCCGCGAGAACACGCUCGCCACCAAAGCCAUAGAAGAGUACAUGAGGCUGAUCGGUCAGAAGUACCUCAAGGAUGCCAUCGGGGAGUUCAUCCGUGCGCUGUACGAGUCUGAGGAGAACUGUGAGGUGGACCCCAUCAAGUGCACGGCGUCCAGUCUGGCAGAGCACCAGGCCAACCUGCGGAUGUGCUGUGAGUUGGCCCUGUGCAAGGUGGUCAACUCCCACUGCGUGUUCCCGAGGGAGCUGAAGGAGGUGUUCGCGUCCUGGCGGCUGCGCUGCGCGGAGCGGGGCCGGGAGGACAUCGCCGACAGACUCAUCAGCGCCUCACUCUUCCUGCGCUUCCUCUGCCCCGCCAUCAUGUCGCCCAGCCUCUUUGGGCUCAUGCAGGAGUACCCGGACGAACAGACCUCUCGAACCCUCACCCUCAUCGCCAAGGUCAUCCAGAAUCUGGCCAACUUUUCCAAGUUUACUUCAAAGGAGGACUUUCUGGGCUUCAUGAAUGAGUUCUUGGAGCUGGAGUGGGGCUCCAUGCAGCAGUUCCUGUACGAGAUCUCCAACCUGGACACGCUGACCAACAGCAGCAGCUUUGAGGGCUACAUCGACUUGGGCCGAGAGCUCUCCACGCUGCACGCCUUGCUCUGGGAGGUGCUGCCCCAGCUCAGCAAGGAAGCCCUUCUGAAGCUGGGCCCGCUGCCCCGGCUCCUCAACGACAUCAGCACAGCCCUGAGGAACCCCAACAUCCAGAGGCAGCCGAGCCGGCAGAGCGAGCGGCCCCGGCCCCAGCCCGUGGUGCUACGGGGCCCUUCGGCUGAGAUGCAGGGCUACGUGAUGCGGGACCUCAACAGCUCCAUCGACCUUCAGUCCUUCAUGGCUCGAGGCCUCAACAGCUCCAUGGACAUGGCUCGCCUCCCCUCCCCAACCAAGGAGAAGCCUCCCCCACCGCCACCUGGCGGCGGGAAAGACCUGUUCUACGUGAGCCGCCCGCCCUUGGCCCGGUCUUCGCCGGCAUACUGUACCAGCAGCUCGGACAUCACAGAGCCAGAGCAGAAAAUGCUGAGUGUCAAUAAGAGCGUCUCCAUGCUGGACCUGCAGGGUGAUGGGCCCGGAGGCCGCCUCAACAGCAGCAGCGUGUCCAACCUGGCAGCCGUCGGGGACCUGCUGCACUCGAGCCAGGCCUCCCUGACAGCAGCCUUGGGGCUACGGCCUGCGCCCGCUGGACGCCUCUCCCAGGGGAGCGGCUCGUCCAUCACGGCGGCUGGUAUGCGCCUCAGCCAGAUGGGCGUCACCACGGACGGUGUCCCAGCCCAGCAGCUACGAGUCCCCCUCUCUUUCCAGAACCCUCUCUUCCACAUGGCUGCGGAUGGGCCAGGCCCCCCAGGGGGCCAUGCUGGGGGUGGUGGCCAUGGCCCACCCUCCUCCCACCACCACCACCACCACCACCACCACCACCGAGGGGGAGAGCCCCCGGGGGACACCUUUGCCCCGUUCCACGGCUACAGCAAGAGCGAGGACCUCUCCUCAGGGGUCCCCAAGCCCCCCGCCGCUUCCAUCCUUCACAGCCACAGCUACAGUGAUGAGUUUGGACCCUCUGGCACUGACUUCACCCGUCGGCAGCUCUCACUCCAGGACAACCUGCAGCACAUGCUGUCCCCUCCCCAGAUCACCAUCGGUCCCCAGAGGCCUGUCCCCCCAGGGCCUGGAGGUGGGAGCGGUGGUGGGGGCAGUGGCGGGGGUGGCGGGGGCCAGCCACCUCCACUGCAGAGGGGCAAGUCUCAGCAGUUGACAGUCAGCGCCGCCCAGAAGCCCCGGCCGUCCAGCGGGAAUCUAUUGCAGUCACCAGAGCCAAGUUACGGCCCUGCGCGCCCACGGCAACAGAGCCUCAGCAAGGAGGGCAGCAUUGGGGGCAGCGGGGGCAGCGGUGGCGGAGGGGGUGGGGGGCUCAAGCCCUCCAUCACCAAGCAGCAUUCUCAGACGCCAUCCACGCUGAACCCCACGAUGCCAGCCUCUGAGCGGACGGUGGCCUGGGUCUCCAAUAUGCCCCACCUGUCAGCCGACAUCGAGAGCGCCCACAUCGAGCGGGAGGAGUACAAGCUCAAGGAGUACUCCAAGUCGAUGGACGAGAGCCGGCUGGAUAGGGUGAAGGAGUACGAGGAGGAGAUCCACUCGCUCAAGGAGCGGCUGCACAUGUCCAACCGCAAGCUGGAGGAGUACGAGCGGCGGCUGCUGUCCCAGGAGGAGCAGACCAGCAAAAUCCUGAUGCAGUAUCAGGCCCGGCUGGAGCAGAGCGAGAAGAGGCUCAGGCAGCAGCAGGUGGAAAAGGACUCGCAGAUCAAGAGCAUCAUUGGCAGGCUGAUGCUGGUGGAGGAGGAGCUGCGCCGGGACCACCCUGCCAUGGCUGAGCCGCUGCCCGAACCCAAGAAGAGGCUGCUCGACGCUCAGGCUUCCCCGCCACCGCCACCAAGGCUCCUGACCCCAUGACCCCACUCUCUCCCCCUGCAGCUCCUCAUCAGGUAAUUCUCCUGGUUCCGCUUUGACCACGGGCGGAGGACACAGGGGGAGGUGACUCCGGACCACUGCAGGUUGGUCAUGAAGCCCACUCCCCUCUGACUCUCCGGAGCCUCUCCCCCUCACUGUCGCCCUCACACCGGGAACCUCCGCAGACCCUAUCCUCUUGACACUGCACAGACCCCUCCCUAAGCACUGCCCCCAGCACUGCGCAGUGACACCCGCCGUCCCAGCACCCCAGGCCACACUCCCUGCCCUCGGAGUCUGCCCCAGCCUCCUCUGACUCUCAGUCCUCCUCCUCCUCUCCAGUGUAUGUCUGUCACCCCCCAUUUCACCAAAGUGUCCUUGGGGCCUGGGCCGUUGGGGUGGGUUUGUUAAAGGGGUGGUGGUAAUGGGCGGGGGCCCUGGCUGGAGGGCUGUGCUGCCUGCACACCUGCCUGCAGGUAGGUGGGGGUCUCCUCUUCCUCCCCCUCCCCUCAGCUCUGCAGGGAACCUUCCUUCCUUCCCACUCACCUCUGUCCUUGCCUUACACCACGAGGUGGAAGGCUUCUCGGGGCCCCUCCUCGGCCCCACUGGAUGUGAAUUAGGAGCAGGUAGUUCAUCUGGGGUGGCUUUGGAGACCUGGCCAGGAUGCUGUUCAGCUGCCGGGACAGUAGGCAGGGCGAGUGGAGCAAGAAGGAAUGAGAAAGGGACCUUGGCGGAUGUUAGUGUGGGCUGGCGCAGGCGGCCUGGGAGCUGCCAGUGGGGCCUGGGUCCUCCUAGGUGAGGCCAUGGCUGGACAGCUGAUUCCCGGGCAGAGGUGGCAGAAUAGCAGCUUAAAUAAGUGCUCACAUCCCUGGCCUGCUCAUGUCCCUCACCCACCUCUUUCAGUGGCCUUGCCGGACACAGUCCCACCUAAAAAGCCAGGGACCGGAACCUGUCAGCCACUGACAUUGGUCCUGGGAUGCUCUCUUUCCUGUGGGCCUGCUCUGCAGUGAGCAGUGGCCCCUCGCACUGUAAUUUAACUCUGCCUGCCCAGCCUCUCUGUCAGAGUAGUUAGUGAUUGGAAAACAGAUGCUAUGAGACACCAGGGGACCUCACCAUUUAAAGGACUCCUGCAGUGAAGUCUUUUGUUAAGUGAAUAAUGGCACCCUAAUUUAUCUCCUUUCUAAAUCUGGGUCCCUGGGGGUGUGGGGGCAUGCCUGUGUGCCACUGCCAGCAGACAGGCAGAGGGAAGGGAAUGAGAGGUGUCCCCCCCACCCCUCACUCUGCUGCCAUACUCGGGGCACCCCAUAGCCACACGCAUGCAGCUUCCUCUCACCCAUGAAGGGGGUGUGAGAUACCAGCAAGCCAAGAGGGCACCCGCUUCAGUCUGGGCUUGUGAGGCCUGCUGAGAGGUGAGCUUUUUGAUUUGGAGGGCAAGCUGACUGGGAAGCCUCUGGUUGGAAUGUUUUUGCUCUUCUUGACGUUUGGUCCAACCCAGCUAGGCUGCCAGGCUUCAGUGCUCUGUGGCCCAGGAAAUAAUUAGGACCCUUUUUCUAAACCACUGUCACGUAGUGGUUCCUUGGUCACUCAGCGGUUACUGUAAAAAUUAAUCUUGUGCCUGUAUUUUUAAAAGCCAAGUGAGCGACCCGAAGCGUGGAAGCCAUCCACGGUUUUCUCUCCCUCUCUCUGCAGAGAACAGAAGCCAGAGCUGGGGGUGGGAGCCGGCGGCCACCCCAGGGUGGAGGGGGUAGAUGGGGCCGGGGCUGGGAGUCGGUUUGGCACCGUCACCCUUGGCCUGGGAGCCCAGGGUGAGGGAUGAAAGGACCGUGGAGGUGGAGAGGCAUGAGCCUUGUGCUUCUUGGGGGUGCAGGGACUGGGGCCUGCUGUGUCCCGUCCUUUCUGUUCUGCUCCCAGCAGAGGCAACACACCCACAUCAUUCCCUUCCCACCUCCCUGCCCUGAGCUCCUGUCUCCAUCCAGUUCAGCCUCUCGUUACAUUCGAGAAGGUGGCCUCUUGGGAUAAGUGAGGGGCUGAGUGACAGUGUCUAUUUAAUGAAAUGCAUGUCUUCAGAACAUAUCCAGUGAGUAGAAUUGGAUGAAGGAGGCCGCGGGGAGCCUGCAGAACCAGUAGCUGGGCUUGAAAGGUCUGCUUCUGGUGGAGGUGAAGCAGCUCCGCCCACAGCCUCAUUUCGACCAUUCAUCUGCUUAGCACACCCUUUCUUCACAGAUGAAGGAAAACUCAGGCCCAGUUUUUGUUCAAAUUAUGAAAGAAUUCCAAACCCCGUGGGUUUGGAUUAAUGAGGUUUUGCUGAACUGCCUCCCCUGUUCCCUGGACGUGAAGUUCCCACCUCAGGUCAGAAGCUUCGAGGCUUAGGUUGGGGGUGAGAUGGGAGCCUGCUGGUUUCCUGGUGUGACUCCCUGGGUUGAAGGCCCUGGUUAGGAGUCAGGGGCGAGAGCCUCUUCUCCCCGGCCUCAGGAGAUGUAACAGCUCUGCAGGAGAGGCAGCUUCCCCCCUUGGGUCCAGCAAACCCGCGUGUGACGCUGGCACCCCCUUGGAACGGCCUGGCCCCCCCAGCCCCGCCCCCCCCCACCCCGGCUGCAGAUCACCGAGAACGGCGAGUUCCGAAACACCGCAGAACACUAGCCCACCCAGCAUCACAGGCUCCCCGUGCACCCCACCCUGGAGCAGCACCCACCACCAGGACCGGACGUCGCCGAGGGACCUCGGGAUUGCCUCCCUGAAGGGCCCCUGGGGGCACCUGGCCCCACCCCCACUGCACCAUCUCCAGGAGGGAGAGCAGGGACCCUUGGCUGCCCCCUUUUCCUUCCUGUUGGGGUGCUGCCCCUUUGACCCCCAGGACACCACCUACCCCAUACAGACCCCUUCACUCCGGGGUGCUAUCCCCAUCCUCUGCCUCAUUAGUCCCCUGAGCACUGGGGGACACCCUCGCCCCACCCUGGGGGCAUGGCACCUCCAAACUUUCAACUUCAGGGUGAUUUUUUAGCAGUAACCAGAGCUGACAAUCUAACUCCCCUCCACCGCCCCAUUUUGGCCUCCCCUGUCCCCCUUGUUAUGGGGAGGGGACCCCGGGUGAGGGGGCCCUGUUACCCCUUGAUUUCUCAGGAGCGUCUGGGGGGGCUCAGCACGCACAAACCCCUUCUCCUCUUCCCACUCUCAAAUUUACUCCCUCCCCACCCAGAACCCAGAUGGGGUGGAGGGGCCACCGGGGCAGGGAGGGGGCGGCCAGGGGGGAAUGGGGGUGGUCUCCCCUUCUUCCCAUACCUGAUCUGCUCUUGGCUGGUCCCAGAGCGGGGUGAGGGGGCUUAUGCCCCCCCCUCCCCCAGUGUGUUGGGUGGGGCACAGUUGAGGUUAGGGUGAGGGGUUAGGGUUUGGGAAGGGGUGUCUGUGGGGGAGAACUCCCCUGGCACACACAGCCCCCCUGCCCCUGCCCCUCUCUGCUUGGUCUCUACUCCCAGGGGGAGGGGGAACUUACUCUAGGAAAAGCCAUGUCUCUCUCCCCCAGGGUGGGGGAACUUGUGUUGGAGGAGGGGUGUUGGGGGACCCCUUCCAUGACUCUGUCCCCGGGGGGGAGGCAGGACAGGGCUGGGCUUCCCUCUCAUCCUCCCCCCCCCAAUCCCCUUCCUCCUCCCUCCCGCCAGCUCCACAAUUUUUCGGUGUUUCUCUGUACAUAGCUCUCUGGCGGGAUAGGGGAGGUAGGGUGGAUGGGGUUUGGGGGGGCUAGGUCACAGGAGGGAAGAGGCCCCUCCUUGGCAUCCCCUUUUCCCCGACUGCCGCCCCCUCCCCAGCCUAGUCCCUCACCCCUUCUUGCGUUUGGUAUUGAGACUCUUCCCAGACUCCACUCUUCUUUCUUUUGUAUGGACAGUUCCCCUUCAGUCCCAUCCCCUACACACCUACACCCAGCCGGGGCCAAAUUUAUACUUAUAUAAAAGUUGUAAAUAUGUGAAAUUUUAUCCCUGUGCCCUUUCCUCGCUUUCCCAACCUCAGAUCCUACCCCUGGACUCCCCCUUCCUCUUCUCUUUGGCUGUUGUAAUUAUCUGGGGUUUGUACUGUACAUAUCCGGGGUGUGUGUGUGUGGGCUGGGGGCGACCCCUCUGUACAGAGCUUCCUGGCCCCCUGCCCCCCAGACUUUCCUCCCCACCCACACCCUAAGGGUAGGAGAUAUUCUUCCUACCUGUUUUAUUUUGUUUUCUCGUUCUCCCUCCCCACCCCACCCUACCCCCAGACUACUCUAUCCCCCACCAUUGCCUCUUUUUCUCCACUCCCAGCCCCAUUUCCUUUUUUUCUGGAGUGUGUGGUGAAACAGAAAAAUCAUGUUUAAUAAACGGAGAUUGUUCUUUUA